GUCUGCAAGUAAACCUAUGAAAGAAAAAAGGAUUUACAUGAGAUGAACAUUGAUUACAGUAGAAACAAUUUAAAAUAUCCAGGGACUUCCUGGUUUAUACGUGGAAGCUGAACACAUCCCACCCCUCUGUAACGGUAUAAAGUCUCAUCUCAAUGUGUUCACUGAAGCUGUGCCUCAUGAGGAUGGAUGGUUCUUGGGAACUCUGUGUGUUUUUCAUUUUGAUUGUUGGGAGAGCAAACUGUGUGACAGUUGAACAGACUUCAUUCAUCCUAAUCAGUGAAACAGAAGAAAUAACAAUCACUUGUAAACAUGAUAGUAGCACCGCACCAUUCAUGUUAUGGUAUCAGCAAAAAAGCAGCACAGUUAUGGAUCUAAUUGGAUAUACUGCUGGACAAACGGGUGAUCCAAACUAUGAGGAUGGAUUUAAAGAUCGAUUCAAACAGAGCAGACAGAGCACAAUUGAAGGAAGUCUGACCAUCUCGCAACUCCGCCAGUCAGACUCUGCUGUUUAUUAGUGUGCAGCAAAGGAACACAGUGCUGCACAUUUACACAACAGCCUUACUAAAACAUCACACACACACACACACACACACACACACACACACACACCAGAGGUUUGUUAUCUGAUGAGGUUUUAAAUUCCUUUCUGGUAUUUUAUGUGGAUCAGGUGACUGAACACCACUAUGAUUAU